GUGGGGAAUAUUGGACAAUGGGGGGAACCCUGAUCCAGCCAUGCCGCGUGUGUGAAGAAGGCCUUUUGGUUGUAAAGCACUUUAAGCGAGGAGGAGGCUACCGAGAUUAAUACUCUUGGAUAGUGGACGUUACUCGCAGAAUAAGCACCGGCUAACUCUGUGCCAGCAGCCGCGGUAAUACAGAGGGUGCAAGCGUUAAUCGGAUUUACUGGGCGUAAAGCGCGCGUAGGCGGCCAAUUAAGUCAAAUGUGAAAUCCCCGAGCUUAACUUGGGAAUUGCAUUCGAUACUGGUUGGCUAGAGUAUGGGAGAGGAUGGUAGAAUUCCAGGUGUAGCGGUGAAAUGCGUAGAGAUCUGGAGGAAUACCGAUGGCGAAGGCAGCCAUCUGGCCUAAUACUGACACUGAGGUGCGAAAGCAUGGGGAGCAAACAGGAUUAGAUACCCCGGUAGUCC
rnacentral:rRNA from 1 species